rnacentral:tRNA from 1 species
GGGUGAUUAACUUGCACGGGUUGCAAGCGCAGUCUUGAAAACUGAUGGAUCAGAAAUGGUUAGGGUUCGAUUCCCUAGUUGCCCGCCA